GGGUUGUGAGGUUAAGCGACUAAGCGUACACGGUGGAUGCCCUGGCAGUCAGAGGCGAUGAAGGACGUGCUAAUCUGCGAUAAGCGUCGGUAAGGUGAUAUGAACCGUUAUAACCGGCGAUUUCCGAAUGGGGAAACCCAGUGUGUUUCGACACACUAUCAUUAACUGAAUCCAUAGGUUAAUGAGGCGAACCGGGGGAACUGAAACAUCUAAGUACCCCGAGGAAAAGAAAUCAACCGAGAUUCCCCCAGUAGCGGCGAGCGAACGGGGAGCAGCCCAGAGCCUGAAUCAGUGUGUGUGUUAGUGGAAGCGUCUGGAAAGGCGCGCGAUACAGGGUGACAGCCCCGUACACAAAAAUGCACAUGCUGUGAGCUCGAUGAGUAGGGCGGGACACGUGGUAUCCUGUCUGAAUAUGGGGGGACCAUCCUCCAAGGCUAAAUACUCCUGACUGACCGAUAGUGAACCAGUACCGUGAGGGAAAGGCGAAAAGAACCCCGGCGAGGGGAGUGAAAAAGAACCUGAAACCGUGUACGUACAAGCAGUGGGAGCCUCUUUAUGGGGUGACUGCGUACCUUUUGUAUAAUGGGUCAGCGACUUAUAUUCUGUAGCAAGGUUAACCGAAUAGGGGAGCCGAAGGGAAACCGAGUCUUAACUGGGCGUUAAGUUGCAGGGUAUAGACCCGAAACCCGGUGAUCUAGCCAUGGGCAGGUUGAAGGUUGGGUAACACUAACUGGAGGACCGAACCGACUAAUGUUGAAAAAUUAGCGGAUGACUUGUGGCUGGGGGUGAAAGGCCAAUCAAACCGGGAGAUAGCUGGUUCUCCCCGAAAGCUAUUUAGGUAGCGCCUCGUGAAUUCAUCUCCGGGGGUAGAGCACUGUUUCGGCAAGGGGGUCAUCCCGACUUACCAACCCGAUGCAAACUGCGAAUACCGGAGAAUGUUAUCACGGGAGACACACGGCGGGUGCUAACGUCCGUCGUGAAGAGGGAAACAACCCAGACCGCCAGCUAAGGUCCCAAAGUCAUGGUUAAGUGGGAAACGAUGUGGGAAGGCCCAGACAGCCAGGAUGUUGGCUUAGAAGCAGCCAUCAUUUAAAGAAAGCGUAAUAGCUCACUGGUCGAGUCGGCCUGCGCGGAAGAUGUAACGGGGCUAAACCAUGCACCGAAGCUGCGGCAGCGACGCUUAUGCGUUGUUGGGUAGGGGAGCGUUCUGUAAGCCUGUGAAGGUGUGCUGUGAGGCAUGCUGGAGGUAUCAGAAGUGCGAAUGCUGACAUAAGUAACGAUAAAGCGGGUGAAAAGCCCGCUCGCCGGAAGACCAAGGGUUCCUGUCCAACGUUAAUCGGGGCAGGGUGAGUCGACCCCUAAGGCGAGGCCGAAAGGCGUAGUCGAUGGGAAACAGGUUAAUAUUCCUGUACUUGGUGUUACUGCGAAGGGGGGACGGAGAAGGCUAUGUUGGCCGGGCGACGGUUGUCCCGGUUUAAGCGUGUAGGCUGGUUUUCCAGGCAAAUCCGGAAAAUCAAGGCUGAGGCGUGAUGACGAGGCACUACGGUGCUGAAGCAACAAAUGCCCUGCUUCCAGGAAAAGCCUCUAAGCAUCAGGUAACAUCAAAUCGUACCCCAAACCGACACAGGUGGUCAGGUAGAGAAUACCAAGGCGCUUGAGAGAACUCGGGUGAAGGAACUAGGCAAAAUGGUGCCGUAACUUCGGGAGAAGGCACGCUGAUAUGUAGGUGAAGUCCCUUGCGGAUGGAGCUGAAAUCAGUCGAAGAUACCAGCUGGCUGCAACUGUUUAUUAAAAACACAGCACUGUGCAAACACGAAAGUGGACGUAUACGGUGUGACGCCUGCCCGGUGCCGGAAGGUUAAUUGAUGGGGUCAGCGCAAGCGAAGCUCUUGAUCGAAGCCCCGGUAAACGGCGGCCGUAACUAUAACGGUCCUAAGGUAGCGAAAUUCCUUGUCGGGUAAGUUCCGACCUGCACGAAUGGCGUAAUGAUGGCCAGGCUGUCUCCACCCGAGACUCAGUGAAAUUGAACUCGCUGUGAAGAUGCAGUGUACCCGCGGCAAGACGGAAAGACCCCGUGAACCUUUACUAUAGCUUGACACUGAACAUUGAGCCUUGAUGUGUAGGAUAGGUGGGAGGCUUAGAAGUGUGGACGCCAGUCUGCAUGGAGCCGACCUUGAAAUACCACCCUUUAAUGUUUGAUGUUCUAACGUUGACCCGUAAUCCGGGUUGCGGACAGUGUCUGGUGGGUAGUUUGACUGGGGCGGUCUCCUCCUAAAGAGUAACGGAGGAGCACGAAGGUUGGCUAAUCCUGGUCGGACAUCAGGAGGUUAGUGCAAUGGCAUAAGCCAGCUUGACUGCGAGCGUGACGGCGCGAGCAGGUGCGAAAGCAGGUCAUAGUGAUCCGGUGGUUCUGAAUGGAAGGGCCAUCGCUCAACGGAUAAAAGGUACUCCGGGGAUAACAGGCUGAUACCGCCCAAGAGUUCAUAUCGACGGCGGUGUUUGGCACCUCGAUGUCGGCUCAUCACAUCCUGGGGCUGAAGUAGGUCCCAAGGGUAUGGCUGUUCGCCAUUUAAAGUGGUACGCGAGCUGGGUUUAGAACGUCGUGAGACAGUUCGGUCCCUAUCUGCCGUGGGCGCUGGAGAACUGAGGGGGGCUGCUCCUAGUACGAGAGGACCGGAGUGGACGCAUCACUGGUGUUCGGGUUGUCAUGCCAAUGGCACUGCCCGGUAGCUAAAUGCGGAAGAGAUAAGUGCUGAAAGCAUCUAAGCACGAAACUUGCCCCGAGAUGAGUUCUCCCUGACUCCUUGAGAGUCCUGAAGGAACGUUGAAGACGACGACGUUGAUAGGCCGGGUGUGUAAGCGCAGCGAUGCGUUGAGCUAACCGGUACUAAUGAACCGUGAGGCUUAACCUUACAACGCCGAAG
rnacentral:rRNA from 1 species